rfam:Aedes aegypti strain Liverpool supercont1.77 genomic scaffold, whole genome shotgun sequence.
CCUCUCAAGGCGUAGGGACAAAGCGCCCUAACUAGAGAUCAGGGAUUCGUGAGUUCGACUCUCACUGAGAAGA